CCAGCAGCCGCGGUAAUACCAGCUCCAAUAGCGUAUAUUUAAGUUGUUGCAGUUAAAAAGCUCGUAGUUGGAUUUCGGGUGGGUUCUAGCGGUCUGCCUUUGGUACGUACUACUAGGGCCUACCUUUCUGUCGGGGACGGGCUCCUGGGCUUAACUGUCCGGGACUCGGAGUCGACGUUGAUACUUUGAGUAAAUUAGAGUGUUCAAAGCAAGCCUACGCUCUGAAUAUUUUAGCAUGGAAUAUCACGAUAGGACUCUGGCCUAUCUUGUUGGUCUGUAGGACCGGAGUAAUGAUUAAGAGGGACAGUCGGGGGCAUUCGUAUUUCAUUGUCAGAGGUGAAAUUCUUGGAUUUAUGAAAGACGAACUACUGCGAAAGCAUUU
rnacentral:rRNA from 1 species